GACAAGUUUUGGCAAAGGUUUUAUCCAUUUGAGUUAGGUUUAUAACAUAUCAUUGGUUGGAUCUGAAAAUUUGAUCAGUAAUUCAAUACGCACUCCAAGAAAAUUAGAACAUGGCUUCUUCCGAUCAGCAUCAAUCGCCGGAAACUACCAAUCUCCAGCUAGUUCUCGUCCAUCGCUAUCCGAGAUUUGGAAAUUCGUUCUUAUCCAAACUCCAAACCCGGUACCGGGUUUUCGACCCGGUUGACGAAUCCGACCCAUCACUUCUACCCCUUUCCGGCUCGGUUCGGGUCAUGCUCUGUCUUGGUCCUACUCCGGUCACUUCGGAGACCCUGGAUAAGUACCCUAAUUUGGAGUGCAUCGUGGGUACUAGCGCCGGAUAUGACCAUUUUGACCUCGCCGAGUGUCGCCGCCGUGGCAUCCGCAUCACUGGCGCCGGAGAUUCGUUCUCCGAGGAUGCCGCUGACUUGGCCGUCGGCCUAUUGAUUGACGUCCUCCGUCGUGUAUCUGCUGCAGACCGUUUUGUUCGUGCUGGCUCUUGGCCUGUUAAAGGAAUAUUCCCCCUCGGUUCUAAGGUUGGUGGAAAGCGAGUGGGCAUUGUAGGUUUAGGGAGCAUUGGUUCGAGGAUUGGUAAAAGACUUGAGGCGUUUGGCUGCAGCAUUGCAUACACCUCAAAGAGGAUGAAGCCCAAUGUUUCGUUUCCUUUCCAUUCUAAUAUUCAUGAUCUUGCAAUCAACAGUGAUGUUCUAAUUCUUUGUUGUGCUUUAACAAAAGAAACACACCACAUAGUUGGCAAAGAAGUGCUGACUGCCCUUGGGAAGGAAGGUAUUGUCAUAAAUGUUGGACGAGGGGCACUCAUUGAUGAGGAGGAAUUGGUUCAGUUUCUGAAGAGAGGUGAGAUUGGCGGUGCUGGUCUUGAUGUUUAUGAAAAUGAACCUCAUGUACCAAAAGAAUUGUUUGGGUUGGAUAAUGUGGUGCUGUCUCCACAUGCUGCUGUUGUAACUCCAGAGUCUUUUAAUGCACUUGAAGAGCUAUUCACUUACAACUUAGAAGCUUUCUUUUCAAAUAAACCCUUGCGGGCACAAAUUGAAUGUGAAUGAUGAAAUUUUCUGUUCAACAUGUAAGCAUACAUUCUUUUACUGCUGUGAUCAACUUCAUUAAGUUUCUGCACCAAGUUGAGGGUCACUUUACUCUCCAACAAAACAUGCUGAACAUGAAAAGAUAUGAUGGUGUUGUGUUGCUCAUAUACAAAGGGGUGAUAUUGCUUGAAAUUUUGUUGAUAUGCUUAUUAAAUAAAGACACCGCAGAGGACACAAAAUAGGGGAUCAACAAAUAAACAACCAUCGGAGUAUGACAACCAAGAGAAAUUAUUUAGAUUCUUUAGCAGGAACAUCCUUGAGGACUUUAUGCUCAGUAACAACAUCCUGAUCAUCCUUCUUGAAAACUUUGAGCUCAGCAACUGCAUCCUGCUCGUCCUCCUUGAGAACUUUGCGCUCAGCAACAACAUCCUGAUCAACCUUCUUGAAGGCUUUCUGUUCAACAGCAGAAUCCUGUUUGUCCUCCUUGAGGACUAUGUGCUCCACAAUAAUAUCGCGAUCAUCCUUUUCGGAGGCUUUGUGUACAGCAGCAGAAUCCUGAUCAUCCUUCUUGAAUACUUUCUGUUCAGCAGCAGCAUCGUUAUCAUCCUUCUUGAAAAGCUUGUGUGCCAUAUGCUGUGCAAAGGUGCGAGGUGGGAAUUGAGAUGGCUCAGCCUCGGUGACAGUCUCAGGUAGGGGCUGAAGCAUAAUCUUCUCCUUUGGAGGCUCACAGAAAAUAGCCCAUGAAAUCCUUACUUUCUCUUUGUUCACAACCCCUCUGUGAAGAAUGCUCUUGUACUUU